CAGGGUCAAAAGAUUAUGCAGGCUCGUUGAGCUUGCUCAUAAGAGGCUGUAUAAAUCUUGUUGACCCGCCAAACCAUUCGAAAGUAGCCAUUUUUACGAAAAAUGAGCGGAUUUCGAAUGGUUUGAAGGAUUUCGGGAGCACAGGGUGCGGAGAAAUCCGGG
rnacentral:sRNA from 1 species